CACAACGACUGAGAUUGUCCGAGCCGGGGCUCGAACCGGCAACCUUCCGGUUACAAGACGAACUGCCAACUGCUGAGAUGCUGCGAAGGGCGAACUGAACCUCCAGCCUCUCGGGGAUCCGGCAGCUUAUGCGCCACAGCAGAUGCAGCUGCAGCAGGAGGCAGAGGGCCAGCAGCUGCUGGAGCGUCGUCAUCCUCGGCUCGUAACAUGUUCGAGUCAGGGGUCACCAAUGUGGAGAUUUUUCCGGGCUUCUUGAAGGGCUUUCCAGAAAUCUUCUAGGGUUGUUGGCUGCUGCUGUUCUCUGUAAAGA